UUUCCGUAGGUGAACCUGCGGAAGGAUCAUUAAUGAAUUCACUAUGGAGUUGUUGCUGGCCUCUAGGGGCAUGUGCACGCUUCACUAGUCUUUCAACCACCUGUGAACUUUUGAUAGAUCUGUGAAGUCGUCUUUCAAGUCGUCAGACUUGGUUUGCUGGGAUUUAAACGUCUCGGUGUGACAACGCAGUCUAUUUACUUAACACACCCCAAAUGUAUGUCUACGAAUGUCAUUUAAUGGGCCUUGUGCCUAUAAACCAUAAUACAACUUUCAACAACGGAUCUCUUGGCUCUCGCAUCGAUGAAGAACGCAGCGAAAUGCGAUAAGUAAUGUGAAUUGCAGAAUUCAGUGAAUCAUCGAAUCUUUGAACGCACCUUGCGCCCCUUGGUAUUCCGAGGGGCAUGCCUGUUUGAGUGUCAUUAAAUUCUCAAACUCACUUUGGUUUUUUUCCAAUUGUGAUGUUUGGAUUGUUGGGGGCUGCUGGCCUUGACAGGUCGGCUCCUCUUAAAUGCAUUAGCAGGACUUCUCAUUGCCUCUGCGCAUGAUGUGAUAAUUAUCACUCAUCAAUAGCACGCAUGAAUAGAGUCCAGCUCUCUAAUCGUCCGCAAGGACAAUUUGACAAUUUGACCUCAAAUCAGGUAGGACUACCCGCUGAACUUAA
rnacentral:rRNA from 3 species